rnacentral:rRNA from 1 species
CCUACGGGAGGCAGCAGUGGGGAAUUUUGGACAAUGGGGGAAACCCUGAUCCAGCAAUGCCGCGUGUGUGAAGAAGGCCUUCGGGUUGUAAAGCACUUUUGUCCGGAAAGAAAACUUCUGCCCUAAUACGGUGGGAGGAUGACGGUACCGGAAGAAUAAGCACCGGCUAACUACGUGCCAGCAGCCGCGGUAAUACGUAGGGUGCGAGCGUUAAUCGGAAUUACUGGGCGUAAAGCGUGCGCAGGCGGUUCGUUAAGACAGAUGUGAAAUCCCCGGGCUUAACCUGGGAACUGCAUUUGUGACUGGCGAGCUAGAGUAUGGCAGAGGGGGGUAGAAUUCCACGUGUAGCAGUGAAAUGCGUAGAGAUGUGGAGGAAUACCGAUGGCGAAGGCAGCCCCCUGGGCCAAUACUGACGCUCAUGCACGAAAGCGUGGGGAGCAAACAGGAUUAGAUACCCUGGUAGUCCACGCCCUAAACGAUGUCAACUAGUUGUUGGGUCUUCAUUGACUUAGUAACGUAGCUAACGCGUGAAGUUGACCGCCUGGGGAGUACGGUCGCAAGAUUAAAACUCAAAGGAAUUGACGG